UUCAAAGUCCCAUGGAGGCAAAUCCGAGUC
rnacentral:piRNA from 1 species